UGGAUCCAGACUUUGAUCCUGGCUCAGGACGAACGCUGGCGGCGUGCCUAACACAUGCAAGUCGAGCGGAGACAGGGAGUAGCUUGCUACGAGCUGUUUUAGCGGCGGACGGGUGAGUAACGCGUGAGCAACCUUUCCCAGACAGGGGAAUAACACACCGAAAGGUGUACUAAUACCGCAUAAGACCACGGAAUCACAUGGUUCUGGGGUAAAAGAUUUAUCGGUUUGGGGUGGGCUCGCGUCCGAUUAGGUAGUUGGUGAGGUAACGGCCCACCAAGCCGACGAUCGGUAGCCGACCUGAGAGGGUGAUCGGCCACAUUGGGACUGAGACACGGCCCAAACUCCUACGGGAGGCAGCAGUGGGGAAUAUUGGGCAAUGGAGGAAACUCUGACCCAGCAACGCCGCGUGGAGGAAGAAGGUUUUCGGAUCGUAAACUCCUGUCCUUGGAGACGAGUAGAAGACGGUAUCCAAGGAGGAAGCCCCGGCUAACUACGUGCCAGCAGCCGCGGUAAUACGUAGGGGGCAAGCGUUGUCCGGAAUAAUUGGGCGUAAAGGGCGCGUAGGCGGCUCGGUAAGUCUGGAGUGAAAGUCCUGCUUUUAAGGUGGGAAUUGCUUUGGAUACUGUCGGGCUUGAGUGCAGGGGAGGUUAGUGGAAUUCCCAGUGUAGCGGUGAAAUGCGUAGAGAUUGGGAGGAACACCAGUGGCGAAGGCGACUAACUGGACUGUAACUGACGCUGAGGCGCGAAAGUGUGGGGAGCAAACAGGAUUAGAUACCCUGGUAGUCCACACUGUAAACGAUGAAUGCUAGGUGUAGGGGGUAUCGACCCCUUCUGUGCCGCAGUCAACACAAUAAGCAUUCCGCCUGGGGAGUACGGCCGCAAGGUUGCAACUCAAAGGAAUUGACGGA
rnacentral:rRNA from 1 species